GAAAAUUGUCCCUUUGGUCUAAAAAGACACAAAAGCAUCAUCAAAGUACUAACUGUAUUUUAUUUUAAAGGUGUCAAAUGUUCAGAUUCUCACACAGAUACUGACGAGCACAGCCAGAAUUCCCAUUGUUACCCAGUAUUUACAGUACACAUUAUCUGCUGUGAUGUUUAGCUUCCAGCUCUGCCCUGUCCUGUUUUUGUACGUCCCGUCCAUCAAAAUUCACCCAAUCAGUGAGCUUGACUGUCCAUGAGCUUAAAACACAAGCAGCCACAGACUGUUCCUGCCAGUCAGUGAAGAGGGCAUUGUGUUACCAGAGGGCAUCACAGCAGAGAACUGGGAAAACAGUGAUAGUGUGUACUAUAAAACAACCCAAAAGAAAACACACUUCUUUUUCCCUAUUCUUAUGUUUUCUGAAAGGACUGAGAAAGAAAACAAAGACUGACAUGGCUUGUGGGGAUGUACUCGCUGCAUGUGCUCAUCUGAGUCUGUUCAGAGGAUGGGAGGAAUUUUUCCGUCAUUCAGAGGACGUGUGCCAUGAUGUCAUUGCCGUGGCGACAAGGCAGACAGUAAGCAGAUAUACACAAAUGCACCAGGCACCUGACCUCAACCCCAUAAAGAAAAACACACAUGCAGGGCCCCUCUCCUUCCUAAAACCACUUCAGGCCUCUCACUUUAUCAGAAACACUAAUGCCUGGUCUUAGAUCACACAUUUUUACAAACACACACACACUACAGCAGCAGUGACGUGCGGUGGGAUUAAUGGCUGGUGAGGCACUGACGUCAUCAGUCAGAUUUACAAACAUAUGAACCAUACUGAGAAACUUCCCUGAAUCAGUUCUUCAUCUUUUAUACUUUUGUAAAUUUUCCCGUGAAUUUUGGAACCAAUUAGAAUGCUUUGUAAACAGCAAAUUAAACUGUAACAUUGUUUUAAAUUUGAAACAAAUAGUCGCAUAUUUUAAUUCGGAUGUUAAAAAAGUAGAAAAAAGUAUUAAUUUGUUACUUCUCGAUUCCAAAUUUUACAUUCAUAAGUGCAGAAUAAAAAAAAAAACAACUCCCAAUUUCACCAUAUUUAAGAUCGAGUUGCUCCAGUUUUACGACUAUAUUAAAAAAAAUUAACACACCCAAAACAAGUAAGACUGAAACAAUUUGUGCUUUUUUGUUUGAUAAGUAAUCCCCUCUAAGAAAACUUUGUAUUGUAAAUAUUAUUAUUAUCUUGUAAUCCCCUUUUAUAUAUUUUAAGAUACUUUAUUUGUCUAUCAGCAAAUUCUAUUUUGGAUAUAUUUCUGAUAAUUUUAUUUUAUAUUUUUUACUUGAGAUGAUUCAAUAAGUUUGGAUUGAUGACAUUGACUACCACUGCUGAUGCUAUCUGAUUCAUUCAUUGAUGCUGGAUUUUGUAUGUUAAUACUUUGUUCAAUAAAGUUGGAAAAAAAACA